CUUUACAGCCCAGUUCAGAGAGCUUUGACUGUAGUCUUGUUGUUCAUGGACCAUGUACACCUGGCUGAGGAGAGAAAACCUGAAGUACUGACCCAACAGCAGAAUGGGGGGAGAGGAAAAUUCACAUAGAGGUGAUCUGCAGAUGAGCUUUUUCUAUGAACAGCAACAGUAAAAAAUUAAUUUACUAUGACAGUAAAUUAAUGUCAGUCUAUCUCUUGUCUGGGAAGAGCAGCUGGAAAUUUUCUUUGUACAUUCAUUGUAAGCUGCAGCUACACAAGAAGACCAACUGGAGUAAAAAGAAAUCAUGCCACAACUUCAGCAGAGCAGAGACGUUUAAAACCAAGCAGAUAUUCCAGUGUACUGGAACAAAGAGCUAGGUGUCUGCCACAGGAGAGCUCGACACUAAAGGUAUUCACAGAGUACACCUAACUUGAAUCAAAAGGAUAACAACAUGCUAUCAUCAAAUAAGUGUUGUAGCAAGCAGUUCAUUCUAGAAGACAAUAGCAGAACUAUGGACAGAGGGUAGGAGGAUAUAGUUAUUAUACAGGAGGAAAGACAAUGGGACUCCUGUCUCAGCUCCCAGAAUAGUCUGUGCAUUUCUAAUUGAAUUACUAGAUGAAGAAGUGAGGCAGUGAUGGGUCAUCAGCUUCAUAGGAGAGCAGCUUCUGGUUUUUGUUUUCACUGUGUGUUUUUGUUUUUACAAUGUUGUUUUCCCCACCACUGGACAAUGUUUAUGAGUAAAUAGCAAUCAUGAUCAGCCUGUACCUUCAAUAGCAAUGCAUAUAGAAUAGCACUGCUCCAAGGUGCUUCUUCAUGCUAAGUGAAAGAAACAAGUAUGAAUAACCCUUCUCCUUUCAUGCAGAAAAACAAGGCUUUGUGGCUAAAAGUUGAAUUAAAAGUGUGGUUGCAUACAGUACUCUGAAUAAAUAACAUCUAAUUACUGAAUCUUGGAGGCUU
rnacentral:lncRNA from 1 species